rnacentral:rRNA from 1 species
GUGGGGGAUAUUGCACAAUGGGCGAAAGCCUGAUGCAGCGACGCCGCGUGAGGGAAGACGGUUUUCGGAUUGUAAACCUCUGUCUUCGGGGACGAAACAAGACGGUACCCGAGGAGGAAGCCACGGCUAACUACGUGCCAGCAGCCGCGGUAAUACGUAGGUGGCGAGCGUUGUCCGGAAUUACUGGGUGUAAAGGGAGUGUAGGCGGGGCUUCAAGUCCGUUGUGAAACCGAUCGGCUCAACUGAUCGUUGCGGCGGAAACUGGAGCUCUUGAGUGAGGUAGAGGCAGGCGGAAUUCCCAGUGUAGCGGUGAAAUGCGUAGAUAUUGGGAGGAACACCAGUGGCGAAGGCGGCCUGCUGGGCCUUAACUGACGCUGAGGCUCGAAAGUGUGGGGAGCAAACAGGAUUAGAAACCCUGGUAGUCC